GCCCGGCUUCUGAUCGAUGUAGAGAUCGGUUGUAGCUGGGUCUUUUAUCGAGGCCAUGUGCACGCCUUCUCUUUCAUCCACUCACACCUGUGCACCUGUUUAGACGGUCGAAGGAAAAAGUCUUUCUCGCGAGAGAGAGGGCGGGUCCUUUUCCGCCCAAUACAUAAAAUCUUAUAUAUUUUAUCUCAAAGUGAUCGAUGUGUACGCAUCUCUAAACUAAGUUUCUCCAACGGAUCUCUUGUGUCUCGCAUCUCUGAAAAAAGCACCGAAAUGCGAUAAAUAAUGUGAAUUGCGCAAAUCUCUGAAUCAUCUAAUCUUUGAACACACCUUGUGCUCCUUGUGAUUCCCCGGAGAACGCCUGUGUGAGAAUCAUGAAAUCCUCAAAGAGAGUCUUUUGUGAAUUCUACUGGCUUUUGUUUUGGAUAUGUAGAUCUUGCGCAUACUCGUCUGCGCCUCUCAAAUGCGUUAUCUGGAUCUCUAUAAAACCCGUGCUACUCGCCGUGAUAUGUAUCACUCUCUGAGGACACUCUCGUGAAAAGGGGGGCGGAUACACGGACGAGACGCUUCUCACGGGCUAUUAUAUUAUACAAACACACUUUAUGAGAUGAUCUCUCAUCACGUGUGGACUACCCGCUGAACUUAUGCAUAUCAAUAAACGGAGAAAAAAAA
rnacentral:rRNA from 1 species